CGGUUUUCCCAGAAGCCGCUGAGCUCUUCCCUGGUAAUUGCACGUCUAAAGGCCGAGCAGCCCCGUCGCUAGGAUGCCGCGUGGAAGCCGAAGCUACACCUCCCGCAUGGCCCCUCCAGCCUGCCGGGCCCUUCAGAUGAGAGCUGCGCCUAGGCCAGCACCAGCCGCUCAGCCACCAGCAGCGGCCCCCCGCCUCUGCAGUUGGCUCUCCUGCUGCUGCACCCCAGCAGCCAGGUCUGCUGUCCCAUAUGGCAACCACUGCAGCUGGUGUGGCUGUGGGCUCUGCUGUGGGGCACACACUGGGCCACGCCAUUACUGGGGGCUUCAGUGGAAGAAGUGAUCCUGAGCCUAUGAGGCCUGAUAUCACUUACCAGGAGCCUCAGGGAACUCAGCCGGCACAGCAGCAGCAGCGUUGCUUCUAUGAGAUCAAACAGUUUUUGGAGUGUGCCCAGAACCAGAGUGACAUCAAGCUCUGUGAGGGUUUCAGUGAGGUGCUGAAACAGUGCCGACUUGCAAACAGAUUGAUCUAAUCAAGAAGUUCAACCUGGAGAAAUGGAAAACCAGCUCUUAUAACCAAGGUAACUUAAAAUAAAAAUUUAAUUAAUAGUGAAGGUGUAAAGUGUAGCCAUCAGUUAAACCUCUCCUGUCAUUCCUAGCUUCCUUGCUUCAGAAUUGAAAUGGAAGCGGAUGUUCCUACUCUGUAGAAUUUGGAGCUGGUCAAAUGUCUGUGUGGCCUCCUUAAACUAGCUGUUAUGAUUUUAUUCUUUGUGAGUUAAUUAGAAUAAAGUUAUUUUCUUCCAAAAAA